AGAGUUUGAUCCUGGCUCAGGAUGAACGCUGGCGGCGUGCCUAAUACAUGCAAGUCGAGCGAACGGAUGAGAAGCUUGCUUCUCUGAUGUUAGCGGCGGACGGGUGAGUAACACGUGGAUAACCUACCUAUAAGACUGGGAUAACUUCGGGAAACCGGAGCUAAUACCGGAUAAUAUUUUGAACCGCAUGGUUCAAAAGUGAAAGACGGUCUUGCUGUCACUUAUAGAUGGAUCCGCGCUGCAUUAGCUAGUUGGUAAGGUAACGGCUUACCAAGGCAACGAUGCAUAGCCGACCUGAGAGGGUGAUCGGCCACACUGGAACUGAGACACGGUCCAGACUCCUACGGGAGGCAGCAGUAGGGAAUCUUCCGCAAUGGGCGAAAGCCUGACGGAGCAACGCCGCGUGAGUGAUGAAGGUCUUCGGAUCGUAAAACUCUGUUAUUAGGGAAGAACAUAUGUGUAAGUAACUGUGCACAUCUUGACGGUACCUAAUCAGAAAGCCACGGCUAACUACGUGCCAGCAGCCGCGGUAAUACGUAGGUGGCAAGCGUUAUCCGGAAUUAUUGGGCGUAAAGCGCGCGUAGGCGGUUUUUUAAGUCUGAUGUGAAAGCCCACGGCUCAACCGUGGAGGGUCAUUGGAAACUGGAAAACUUGAGUGCAGAAGAGGAAAGUGGAAUUCCAUGUGUAGCGGUGAAAUGCGCAGAGAUAUGGAGGAACACCAGUGGCGAAGGCGACUUUCUGGUCUGUAACUGACGCUGAUGUGCGAAAGCGUGGGGAUCAAACAGGAUUAGAUACCCUGGUAGUCCACGCCGUAAACGAUGAGUGCUAAGUGUUAGGGGGUUUCCGCCC
rnacentral:rRNA from 1 species